rnacentral:lncRNA from 10 species
ACACGCUUCCCCACUGAGGGAAGACCAUGUGACUAUACAACAGGAAGGUAGUUGUUUACAAGCCAGGAAGAGAGCCCUCACCAGAAACCAAAUUGGCUGGCGCCUUGAUCAUGGACUCCUGGGCUCCGGAACUGUAAGAAAAUUUGUGUUGUGGAAGCCACCCAGCCCAUGGUAUUUCGUUAUGGCAGCCUGAGCAGAGGUGGUAGCUAUGUGGACAGUUUUUGGACUUCUCUAUUGUUGCCCUUCAUCACUCAGCAGUGAAGAAUGAAAAUCAACAGAGCUUUCCCCAGCCUGCUGCUUAAGCAGCUGCUAGCAGGCUGAGGCUGCCCAGCCUCAUUAACCCAUUAGAUGCUGCGUUCGCCCGGGAGUCAUUCUUAAUGAGGCUGCUGCAGAGACGGCGUUUCACCAUGUUGCCCAGACUGGUCUCGAACUCCUGGCUUCAAGUGAUCCUCCUGCCUCAACCUCCCAAAGUGCUGGUAUUACAGAUGAGAAAACAGAAGCAAAGGCAGAAAGAUGCUACAUUGCCAGCUUUGAAGAUGGAGGGAAGAGGUCACAAACCAAGGAA